CCUACGGGAGGCAGCAGUGAGGAAUAUUGGUCAAUGGCCGAUAGGCUGAACCAGCCAAGUCGCGUGAGGGAAGACGGCCCUACGGGUUGUAAACCUCUUUUGUCGGGGAGUAAAGCGAACUAUGUAUAGUUCAUUGAGUGUACCUGAUGAAUAAGCAUCGGCUAACUCCGUGCCAGCAGCCGCGGUAAUACGGAGGAUGCGAGCGUUAUCCGGAUUUAUUGGGUUUAAAGGGUGCGAAGGCGGAGGUGCAAUUCAGCGGUAAAAUUGGGGGGCUAAACCCAGUACUGCAGUUGAAACUGCAUCCCUUGAGUGCACGAGAGGUAUGCGGAAUGCGUGGUGUAGCGGUGAAAUGCAUAGAUAUCACGAAGAACUCCGAUUGCGAAGGCAGCAUACUGGAGUGCAACUGACGCUGAUGCACGAAAGCGUGGGUAUCGAACAGGAUUAGAUACCCUGGUAGUC
rnacentral:rRNA from 1 species